rnacentral:lncRNA from 1 species
UUUUUUUGUUUUGAGACCCAAAUAAUACCAAUGCAAAUAUAAGGUAAAAGUCCGAGUCAGCCUUUUCCCGCCAUAUUUUAAAUCUCAAAUAACUCAAAAAGGAGGUCCAUGACUAAUCAAUAUUUUUAGCUUAUCUUUAUCCUUAAUUGAUGCUCUACCAGCUUAAAGUAUCAAUUUUAAUUUCUUAAUUUCUUAAUUUUUACCUAACCUCACCUAAGUAC